rnacentral:piRNA from 1 species
UGUAUGACUUAAAACCUCUCCACUUUGCCUU